rnacentral:rRNA from 1 species
AACGAACGCUGGCGGCAUGCCUAACACAUGCAAGUCGAACGAGACCUUCGGGUCUAGUGGCGCACGGGUGCGUAACGCGUGGGAACCUGCCCUUAGGUUCGGAAUAACUCCCCGAAAGGGGUGCUAAUACCGGAUAAUGUCGUCGGACCAAAGAUUUAUCGCCUUUGGAUGGGCCCGCGUUGGAUUAGCUAGUUGGUAGGGUAAAAGCCUACCAAGGCGACGAUCCAUAGCUGGUCUGAGAGGAAGGUCAGCCACACUGGGACUGAGACACGGCCCAGACUCCUACGGGAGGCAGCAGUGGGGAAUAUUGGAAAAUGGGCGAAAGCCUGAUCCAGCAAUGCCGCGUGAGUGAUGAAGGCCUUAGGGUUGUAAAGCUCUUUUACCCGGGAUGAUAAUGACAGUACCGGGAGAAUAAGCACCGGCUAACUCCGUG